UACGUAGGGUGCAAGCGUUGUCCGGAAUUAUUGGGCGUAAAGAGCUCGUAGGCGGUUUGUCGCGUCGGCUGUGAAAACCUGAGGCUCAACCUCGGGCCUGCAGUCGAUACGGGCAAACUAGAGUUCGGUAGGGGAGACUGGAAUUCCUGGUGUAGCGGUGGAAUGCGCAGAUAUCAGGAGGAACACCGGUGGCGAAGGCGGGUCUCUGGGCCGAAACUGACGCUGAGGAGCGAAAGCGUGGGGAGCGAACAGG
rnacentral:rRNA from 1 species